AUGGGCAUAUUCUGCUCAGUAAUCAAGUUUGAAAAUCUUCAGACUUAAGGAGACUGUGUCCCUGAGGUCCCAUCAUAGCCCUGGGUGUUAUAGCAAUAUGUUCCACAAUGGCCAUGAUCGACUCUGUCUUGUGGUAUUGGCCCUUACAUACAACUGAAGGAAGUGUGAACUUCAUCAUGUUGAUACAUUGGACCGUCAUGAUUCUUUAUAAUUACUUCAAUGCCAUGUUUGCUGGUCCUGGCUUCGUCCCUCAGGGGUGGAAACCCGAAAAGUCUCAGGAUAGCAUGUAUCCCCGGAAAUGUAAAGUCUGCCAAGCGUACAAGGCGCCACGUUCACAUCAUUGCAGAAAGUGUAACAGAUGUGCAAUGAAGAUGGACCACCACUGCCCCUGGAUCAACAACUGCUGUGGUCACCAGAACCACGCCUCAUUCACCCUCUUCCUUCUGUUGGCCCCUCUGAGCUGCACGCAUGCUGCUUUCAUCUUCAUGAUGACAAUGUACACACAGCUUUAUAAUCGGCUCUCCUUUGGGUGGAACACAGUCAAGAUUGACAUGAGUGCAGCCAGGGGAGAUCCACCUCCAAUUGUUCCCUUUGGAUUGGCUGCAUUUGCCGCCACCUUGUUUGCCCUGGGAUUAGCUUUGGGAACAACCAUAGCUGUUGGGAUGUUGUUUUUCAUACAGAUAAAAAUCAUUCUCAGAAACAAAACUUCUAUUGAAUCAUGGAUUGAAGAAAAGGCUAAAGAUCACAUUCAGUAUUACCAACUGGAUGAAGUCUUCAUUUUUCCUUAUGAUAUGGGAAGUAAGUGGAAGACCUUUAAACGGGUGUUCACAUGGUCAGGAGUCCCUGAAGGAGAUGGACUUGAGUGGCCAAUACGAGAAGGCUGUGACCAGUACAGCCUCACAAUAGAACAGUGGAAGCAAAAAGCAGACAAGAGAGUCAGAAGUGUUUGCUAUAAAGUCAUAGAAGACUACAAUGGUGCCUUCUGCCCUUUGAAUAGAGGAGUGAGAACCUUCUUUACAAGUCUGAGGACUUUACAAGCACUGAGGACCCUCGGAUCUGGCUGCAGAAAGGAGAGUUCAUCUUAGCAACAAGAGGGUUACGAUACUGGUUGUAUGGAGACAAAAUUCUUGAUGAAGUACCUUGAAGAAGGUACUUCAAGAGUAAGAGGGUGGUUUCCUAGAAACUGUGUGGAAAAGUGUCCCUGUGAUGGUGACUCAGAUCCAGCCCCAGGGGGGGAGAAGAAAAACAGAUAGCCACUGUUAAAGUGAGAUCAUUAAGUCUUCAUUACUUGAAAAUCCACAUGUAGUACCUGAGA